rnacentral:lncRNA from 1 species
GGUCACAAGGGAGAUGUCCGCCCCCAGUCGUAGCCUCGGACGGUUUCUGAGCGUUGGUGUUUGGCACGCGCCACCCUCUCUUGCUUUGGUUCCGCCAUGCCGAUGUACCAGUCUUUGGUAGAUGAGUGGCUGGAUAGCUACAAGCAAGACCAGGAUGCAGGAUUUCUGGAGCUUGUUAACUUUUUCAUCUGAUCUUGUGGAUGUAAAGGCACUGUGAGCCCUGAGAUGUUCA